GACGAACGCUGGCGGCGUGCUUAACACAUGCGAGUCGAACGGAAAGGCCCUGCUUUUGUGGGGUGCUCGAGUGACGAACGGGUGAGUAACACGUGAGUAACCUGCCCUUGACUUUGGGAUAACUUCAGGAAACUGGGGCUAAUACCGGAUAGGAGCUCCUGCUGCAUGGUGGGGGUUGGAAAGUUUCGGCGGUUGGGGAUGGACUCGCGGCUUAUCAGCUUGUUGGUGGGGUAGUGGCUUACCAAGGCUUUGACGGGUAGCCGGCCUGAGAGGGUGACCGGCCACAUUGGGACUGAGAUACGGCCCAGACUCCUACGGGAGGCAGCAGUGGGGAAUAUUGCACAAUGGGCGGAAGCCUGAUGCAGCAACGCCGCGUGCGGGAUGACGGCCUUCGGGUUGUAAACCGCUUUCGCCUGUGACGAAGCGUGAGUGACGGUAAUGGGUAAAGAAGCACCGGCUAACUACGUG
rnacentral:rRNA from 1 species